UAUAUACAUAUUGAAUAGGUGCAGGUAUAUACAUAUUGAAUAGGUGCAGGUAUAUACGUAUUGAAUAGGUGCAGGUAUAUACAUAUUGAAUAGGUGCAGGUAUAUACGUAUUGAAUAGGUGCAGGUAUAUACAUAUUGAAUAGGUGCAGGUAUAUACGUAUUGAAUAGGUGCAGGUAUAUACGUAUUGAAUAGGUGCAGGUAUAUACAUAUUGAAUAGGUGCAGGUAUAUACGUAUUGAAUAGGUGCAGGUAUAUACGUAUUGAAUAGGUGCAGGUAUAUACGUAUUGAAUAGGUGCAGGUAUAUACGUAUUGAAUAGGUGCAGGUAUAUACAUAUUGAAUAGGUGCAGGUAUAUACGUAUUGAAUAGGUGCAGGUAUAUACAUAUUGAAUAGGUGCAGGUAUAUACAUAUUGAAUAGGUGCAGGUAUAUACAUAUUGAAUAGGUGCAGGUAUAUACAUAUUGAAUAGGUGCAGGUAUAUACGUAUUGAAUAGGUGCAGGUAUAUACGUAUUGAAUAGGUGCAGGUAUAUACAUAUUGAAUAGGUGCAGGUAUAUACAUAUUGAAUAGGUUCAGGUAUAUACGUAUUGAAUAGGUUCAGGUAUAUACAUAUUGAAUAGGUGCAGGUAUAUACAUAUUGAAUAGGUGCAGGUAUAUACAUAUUGAAUAGGUGCAGGUAUAUACGUAUUGAAUAGGUGCAGGUAUAUACGUAUUGAAUAGGUGCAGGUAUAUACGUAUUGAAUAGGUGCAGGUAUAUACAUAUUGAAUAGGUGCAGAUAUAUACAUAUUGAAU